rnacentral:ncRNA from 1 species
UUAAAAGCUAUGACGGAGACGGUGUUUUAUAUAUCGUAGUUUUAGAGAGUCGGUGUCUGCUGAAAGCCGAUACUACCUAAUAAAGCACAUAUCACUCCCGAGCAUUAUCUUUGAAAACCUAUAUUGAUGAUGGUUAAACAAAUUUACUUUUCAAUUUGUUUCACUAUAUAGUAGAAGAUGACGACUAGCCCCGUUAAAGGCUUAGGUUUGAUGGAACUGAAAGAGAGGUGUCUAAUUAUAAUUAUUUAGAUGCAAUUAAGGUGGUAUCGCGGGUAUAUACUCGUCCUUGAA